ACCGGAAGGCUUCAUAAUUCAGCAAUUGUAACGAUAGAUCAGGCGGAAUACGUAUACAAAGACAAGGCACUUCCAUAUUUUGAGUUCCUUAAAACAGCACUUCUGCGAAAGACUAGGAAGCUUAAAAUAAUUAUCCAUCACAAUAUCAGCAAUUCCCUGCAUAAAAAAAACGCUCAAGUUUUUUCACUAAAACACAAAAUGCGACAUUAGGUGGAUUUUUAAACGUAAAAUACCCAGCAGUUGAUCAAAAGACUUAGACGAUUGACGUUUAGCCGUCAAAAGAUGUUCUUUUAAAAAUGACCAAAAAGAUGGAUUGCCAGGGGGUAUUAAAAAAAGAUCGACCCGGGGUAAUUUUUUGCACCAAUUGAAUUGGGGUAAACACAAGGUCACUCGAACAGACGAACAAAAGAAACAUUAAAAUUUAAAAAUAUAAAAAUAUUGGUAUAAAAUACAAAUUAAUGAACCAUGGAAGAACGCAAAAUUCAUUCCCUCAUUGUGGGGCUAAAAUAUUCGCACACAGAAUCCCUCAAGUUUCUAACCAACUGUUAUGGUCUUCGUAGAUAAUUGCAGCUUUUUGAGAAUGCUCAGAGAUGAAUAUCAUUUCCGGCAUUGCUAACAAGUCUUGUGUUGUGGGUCGACAAUCCACGUACGGAUGCGUCAUACGCUGAAGCAAACACUGUAAUGAUUCAGCACACCUCACCUUGUUUAUUUGAACCUUUUCUUUCGACAAAAGGAGGUCUUUAAGAUUUGGCAAAUUUGAGUAAUCUCCAGACCUUAGUCGUUGCCAUUCAACACCAUUUUCUGGCAGGACUACAUUUGUUGCGGCUUCAAUCAUACUGAGGCCUAGUGAAUAUACAUCGGCUGGUUUCCCAUAAUUAUGCGAAGCUAAUAUUUCGGGAGCUAUAUAGACUCUGUCGCCUUCGAGAUCAACCAUCGAGGAGACCGGUAAACUAGUUGCUAGUCCGAAGUCUCCCAACUUUAAGUUACCAUCACGAGUUAUAAGAACGUUGGAAGGCUUAACGUCUAAAUGAACAAAUUCUAAAAGAUGAAUGAAAUUUAAUGCCUAUGUUCGGUUAGUGAAUUCAAAUGACGUGUCUGUGGAACGCGACUUUUAAAUAUGUAAUAACUUACUUGAGUUAGUUGAAACAACAUUUUCCACACGCGAAAAGGAUCCAUGACCUGCAAUAAUCCCAAUUCGCUUAAAAAUAAACUUAGGUCUCCGUUUUCACAAUAAUCUAAUUGCAAAAAUAUAUUAUCAUUGUAGCUCCAAACGUUCACUAGAUUUACUACAAAUGGACAUGCUUGCAAGCGUUGCAAAAUAGAUACUUCCUGUAAGUGACGCUCUUUUCCUGUAAACUUGGCUGCAUUUUUUUUUAACAUUUUUACAACGUAAACCGUUUCAGUAGGUGGGUUGAUCGAAGACACAUGAUAUACAAAUGAAAAAUCACUCUCGUGUAUCGGCUUAACUUGUUGGAAUCGAAUUCGAAGAUCACUAGUCCAAUCUUCCUCUUCUUCGUAAUCAUCUGCGCUGUUGAUGUUUAAAAAAAUUGGACUGGUAGGUGUCCAACUUAAUGAAGAAGGUACGUCUUUCUCAUCCCAGUUAUUAACGUGGGAACUUGAAAGGAAAAUAGGCUGACUCUUGCAAGGCGUUUCGCAAAAUUCCAACAAGUCCUCUGAACCAUAAGACAAAGAAGGAAGUUCUUCCAUUUCAAACGUUUCAUCCGAGCUGUCAGAGUUUGGAUGAUCCAACCGACUAAAAGUAUCUAGGUCGAUAUGUUUACAUUUGCGAGCUAAAAGAGAGGUAGUGGGUGACAGCGGAGAUUGAGGUGGUUUUAAUUUUAUUUUCGUUCCCUUUUUACAAGGUGUAUGAGGUUGUUCACUUCUUGGAUUAGUCAAAUUCCCUUCCCAUAAUGACCACUUUUCACGUUUUGAUAACAGUCCUGUGCUUAAAGAAGUCACCGCCCUUUUUCGUUUUAAAUCAAUUGGCGUUGAAGCAUCCACAAUUUUUUUGGAUAACUUCAAGCCGCUCGAAAAUGCAAAUGGUUUGCUACACCCAUCGAGAUCUGAAUUCUUAAAAAUUCCGUGGCGAACUGUAGUGGAUAAUCUGAUGGCUUUUGCAUUAUUUUGCAUAGGGGUAUGUGGACUUCUUUUUGUAUUGGAAGGUUUAAAGAAUGUCAGUUUUGAUGACUUAUGGCUCUGAUUUUCUUCAUGGCCAGACGAAAAAUUGUAAAUGGGUUCAUCGUAGAAAUUUAAUGGAGAAUGCUCAUUAAACGAAGAGGAUAUAUUAAAAAAACAUGGUGUUCGCGUUGGAGUAAUUGGGAUGGUGGUUGAUGAAUCCAUCUUUAACUGAAACCUGAAUGUAAAUAAAGUUAUAUUUUUUUGCUUAUUAGCUGUUAAAAUCCCGUUUUCACUUUGAUAUCUCCGGUUUUCCUAAAUAAUAAAUAAUAUG
rnacentral:lncRNA from 1 species